GUCUUUAUGAAUUUUAUUUAAAGUUUGGCCUGCCCAUUGAAUUUAUUUUAAAAGGCUGCGGUAUUUUAACCGUACAAAGGUAGCAUAAUCAUUAGUUUUUUAAUUGGGAACUAGAAUGAAUGGUCGAAUGAAAUAUUUACUUUUUUAACUAUAAUGAUUGAAUUUUACUUUUAAAUCAAAAGGUUUAAAUUAAUUUAAAAGACGAGAAGACCCUAUAGAGUUUUAUAAAUUAUUUUGUGUAAUUAAGAUAGAGGAUUACUAUUUACAUAUUUUUAUUUAUUUUGUUGGGGUGAUAGUAAAAUUUAAUUAACUUUUAUUUUUUUUUUACAUUAAUAAAUGAGUUUUUGAUCCAUUCUUAAUGAUUAAAAAUUUAAAUUACCUUAGGGAUAACAGCGUAAUUUUUUUUUAAGUUCUUAUUAUUAAAAAAUUUUGCGACCUCGAUGUUGGAUUAAGAGUAAAUUUUAGGUGCAGCAGUUUAAAAUUUAAGUCUGUUCGACUUUUGAAUUCUU
rnacentral:rRNA from 1 species